CCUACGGGUGGCAGCAGUGGGGAAUAUUGGACAAUGGGCGAAAGCCUGAUCCAGCCAUGCCGCGUGUGUGAAGAAGGCCUUCGGGUUGUAAAGCACUUUCAGUGGGGAAGAAAGCCUUGGGGCUAAUACCCUCGAGGAAGGACAUCACCCACAGAAUAAGCACCGGCUAACUCCGUGCCAGCAGCCGCGGUAAUACGGAGGGUGCGAGCGUUAAUCGGAAUUACUGGGCGUAAAGCGCGCGUAGGCGGUCUGAUAAGCCGGUUGUGAAAGCCCCGGGCUCAACCUGGGAACGGCAUCCGGAACUGUCAGGCUAGAGUGCAGGAGAGGAAGGUAGAAUUCCCGGUGUAGCGGUGAAAUGCGUAGAGAUCGGGAGGAAUACCAGUGGCGAAGGCGGCCUUCUGGACUGACACUGACGCUGAGGUGCGAAAGCGUGGGUAGCAAACAGGAUUAGAUACCCUGGUAGUC
rnacentral:rRNA from 1 species